GUCUACGAUUUCUAAAGGGGUCCACAAAAAUCAUGCAUUUUUGGAUCCACGCACCUCAUUCUCAAAAACCCAUCGCGUGUCGUAUUUUUUUUGGUUUUCUUCUCUAAACCAAAUUAAACCGAACCGAGAUCAAUUUGAAUUUCAAAACCAAUGUAAACCCAUCGCUGUGAAAACAAAAAGCUCGGCCACUGUAACAACAAAAAUGGAGACGACACAACUUGGAAGAGAAAUCAAACACGAAAUAGCCAAGAGAAUGUUCGAAAACCCCCUCAAAUCCGAUGCUUCCUUUGAUUCCAACCUCCAAAAGCUCAUCUGCUCAAUUUAUGAAAUCAAGCUCUGGUUUAUGCAACUAGGAUCCCAGAGAGAUGGAUGCCGGGGAUGAAGGAUUUUGUUUUUGUUACAUAUGAUUAAAUGGAUUUUAUAUUUGCUUAUUUUUGAAUGCAAAUGACGUUGCUUCUAAAUAUUAUUUCUUCUCAAUCAUUCAUGCUCUGUUUUCCUCUCUUCUUAGGCUCUGUG